rnacentral:rRNA from 1 species
CGGCACGGGUGAGUAACACGUAUCCAACCUGCCGUCUACUCUUGGACAGCCUUCUGAAAGGAAGAUUAAUACAAGAUGGCAUCAUGAGUCCGCAUGUUCACAUGAUUAAAGGUAUUCCGGUAGACGAUGGGGAUGCGUUCCAUUAGUUUGUUGGCGGGGUAACGGCCCACCAAGACCACGAUGGAUAGGGGUUCUGAGAGGAAGGUCCCCCACAUUGGAACUGAGACACGGUCCAA